rnacentral:rRNA from 1 species
UACGUAGGGGCCGAGCGUUGUCCGGAGUUACUGGGCGUAAAGCGUGCGCAGGCGGCGCGUUCUGCCCGGCGUGAAAGCCCCCGGCUCAACCGGGGAAGGUCGUCGGGGACGGGCGCGCUUGAGGGCGGCAGGGGCUGGUGGAACUCCCGGUGUAGUGGUGAAAUGCGUAGAGAUCGGGAAGAACACCUGUGGCGAAGGCGGCCAGCUGGGCCGACCCUGACGCUGAGGCACGAAGGCGUGGGGAGCGAACGGG